UACGUAGGGUGCAAGCGUUGUCCGGAAUUAUUGGGCGUAAAGAGCUCGUAGGCGGUCUGUCGCGUCUGCUGUGAAAACUCGGGGCUUAACCCCGGGCCUGCAGUGGGUACGGGCAGACUAGAGUGCGGUAGGGGAGACUGGAAUUCCCGGUGUAGCGGUGAAAUGCGCAGAUAUCGGGAAGAACACCUAUGGCGAAGGCAGCUCUCUGGGACGGUACUGACGCUGAGACGCGAAAGCGUGGGGAGCGAACAGG
rnacentral:rRNA from 1 species